UACGUAGGGUGCAAGCGUUGUCCGGAAUUAUUGGGCGUAAAGAGCUCGUAGGCGGUCUGUCGCGUCGGCUGUGAAAUCCCGAGGCUCAACCUCGGGUCUGCAGUCGAUACGGGCAAACUAGAGUAUUGCAGGGGAGACUGGAAUUCCUGGUGUAGCGGUGAAAUGCGCAGAUAUCAGGAGGAACACCGGUGGCGAAGGCGGGUCUCUGGGCAAUAACUGACGCUGGAGGAGCGAAAGCCGUGGGGGAGCGAACAGG
rnacentral:rRNA from 1 species